UCAGUACAAUACUGCAAAAACUUGUACAUUGUACACGUGAUGUCACUGUCUAUCAAUACAAUACAGCAAAUAAUUGUACAUUGUAUCUAAUAUGCGUGGAUCGAAUGUCAGGUGUAAAUUUUGUCAAUUUUGUAACGUCUGGAACAGUGCUUAUCUGGUGAAUGAAAACACAUUUCACAUUCUGUAUUUACUGUUUCAACUCCCUCA